AUGCCCUAGCAAGAGGUAGGUGGUUACCUGGAGAGGGAGACAAUGGUAGGACAACAUGUUUUGCAGCCACCUACCAAUGGAGAUUGGUGAAGACCAGAAGACUGACUGCUCUCCUCCAGCAAUGUCACUUCCGGUAUCCACCCAAAUGGACGCCUCUUGAACAAGACAAUGACUGGAAGAACCGCCAUCUUGAACGGCCUGAAUAGGACUCCAGUGAGCACAAAGUAUUCUUUGUUACACAUAAGGGUCAUCUACUGUGCUCAUCAGAGGAACACUUAAGAACUUCACUUCCUGUUUUAGCAUAAGACCAUCUCUGGAAUGAUGCUACUUUCCUUUGAUGACCCGUCUCUUCCUCCCUCUCCACCAUAUAAACCCGAUGAUCCUCCCGGUCUUCAGUCUGUUAUAUGACUCAAUUCGAAGAGACUACUCUCAGUUCUAACCUACAGUUAUUUUGCCUGACAAUA